GACGAACGCUGGCGGCGUGCCUAAUACAUGCAAGUAGAACGCAGUUGCGAACGGGUGAGUAACGCGUCGGUCACUACCUAUUAGAGGCGGAUAACUAUUGGAAACGAUAGCUAAUACCGCAUACUAGUAGAUGGACCUGCGUUGUAUUAGGUAGUAGGGCGGGUAAUGGCCUACCUAGGCAACGAUACCUUGCCGAGCUGGAGGGGUGGUCGGCCACACUGGGACUGGGACACCGCCCAAAAUCCUACGGGGAGGAGGCGUAGGGGAUUUUCGGAAAUGGGGGGAACGCUUGACGAGCAAAGGCGCGGGGGUGAAAGAAGUUUUCGGGGCGUAAAGGUCUGUUGUUAGGGAAGCGGUACUUAACCAGAAAGUGACGGCUAACUACGUGCCAGCAGCCGCGGUAAUUC
rnacentral:rRNA from 1 species